UACAUGUGGGGCAAGCGUUGUUCGGAAUUACUGGGCAUAAAGGGUGCGUAGGCGGUUUGUUAAGUCAGGGGUGAAAGUUUUCGGCCCAACCGGAAAAUGGCCUUUGAUACUGGCGAACUCGAGUGCGUGAGGGGUAACCGGAACGAGUGGUGUAGCGGUGAAAUGCGUAGAUAUCACUCGGAAGGCCAAAGGCGAAGGCAGGUUACUGGUACGCAACUGACGCUGAGGCACGAAAGCGUGGGGAGCGAACAGG
rnacentral:rRNA from 1 species